rnacentral:rRNA from 1 species
UACGAAGGGUGCAAGCGUUAGUCGGAAUUACUGGGCGUAAAGCGUGCGUAGGUGGUCUCUUAAGUCCGUUGUGAAAGCCCUGGGCUCAACCUGGGAACUGCAGUGGAUACUGAGAAGCUAGAGUGUGUCAGAGGAUGGUGGAAUUCCCGGUGUAGCGGUGAAAUGCGUAGAGAUCGGGGAGGAACAUCAGUGGCGAAGGCGGCCAUCUGGGGACAACACUGACGCUGAGGCACGAAAGCGUGGGGAGCAAACAGG